rnacentral:rRNA from 1 species
GGCUUAACACAUGCAAGUCGAGGGGCAGCAUGGUCUUAGCUUGCUAAGGCCGAUGGCGACCGGCGCACGGGUGAGUAACGCGUAUCCAACCUGCCUUACACUCUUGGACAGCCUUCUGAAAGGGAGAUUAAUACAAGAUGUUAUCAUGAGUAAGCAUUUUCGCAUGAUUAAAGGUUUACCGGUGUAAGAUGGGGAUGCGUUCCAUUAGAUAGUAGGCGGGGUAACGGCCCACCUAGUCUUCGAUGGAUAGGGGUUCUGAGAGGAAGGUCCCCCACAUUGGAACUGAGACACGGUCCAAACUCCUACGGGAGGCAGCAGUGAGGAAUAUUGGUCAAUGGACGAGAGUCUGAACCAGCCAAGUAGCGUGAAGGAUGAAGGUUCUAUGGAUUGUAAACUUCUUUUAUACGGGAAUAAACGGAUCCACGUGUGGAUUUUUGCAUGUACCGUAUGAAUAAGGAUCGGCUAACUCCGUGCCAGCAGCCGCGGUAAUACGGAGGAUCCGAGCGUUAUCCGGAUUUAUUGGGUUUAAAGGGAGCGUAGAUGGGUUGUUAAGUCAGUUGUGAAAGUUUGCGGCUCAACCGUAAAAUUGCAAUUGAUACUGGCAGUCUUGAGUACAGUUGAGGUAGGCGGAAUUCGUGGUGUAGCGGUGAAAUGCUUAGAUAUCACGAAGAACUCUGAUUGCGAAGGCAGCUUACUAACCUGUAACUGACAUUGAUGCUCGAAAGUGUGGGUAUCAAACAGGAUUAGAUACCCUGGUAGUCCACACGGUAAACGAUGAAUACUCGCUGUAGGCGAUAUACAGUCUGCGGCCAAGCGAAAGCAUUAAGUAUUCCACCUGGGGAGUACGCCGGCAACGGUGAAACUCAAAGGAAUUGACGGGGGCCCGCACAAGCGGAGGAACAUGUGGUUUAAUUCGAUGAUACGCGAGGAACCUUACCCGGGCUUAAAUUGCAACCGAAUAUGGCGGAAACGCUAUAGCUAGCAAUAGCGGUUGUGAAGGUGCUGCAUGGUUGUCGUCAGCUCGUGCCGUGAGGUGUCGGUUUAAGUGCCAUAACGAGCGCAACCCUUGCCGAUAGUUACUAACAGGUUAUGCUGAGGACUCUGUCGGGACUGCCAUCGUAAGAUGUGAGGAAGGUGGGGAUGACGUCAAAUCAGCACGGCCCUUACGUCCGGGGCUACACACGUGUUACAAUGGGGGGUACAGAGGGCUGCUACCACGCAAGUGGAUGCCAAUCCCAAAAACCUCUCUCAGUUCGGAUUGAAGUCUGCAACCCGACUUCAUGAAGCUGGAUUCGCUAGUAAUCGCGCAUCAGCCACGGCGCGGUGAAUACGUUCCCGGGCCUUGUACACACCGCCCGUCAAGCCAUGGGAGCCGGGGGUACCUGAAGUGCGUAACCGAAAGGAGCGCCCUAGGGUAAAACUGGUGACUGGGGCUAAG